ACAACUUUUAACAAUGGAUCUCUUGGCUCUUGCAUCGAUGAAGAACGCAGCGAAAUGCGAUAAGUAAUGUGAAUUGCAGAAUUCAGUGAAUCAUCGAAUCUUUGAACGCACCUUGCGCUCUCUGGUAUUCCGGGGAGCACGCCUGUUCGAGUGU
rnacentral:rRNA from 1 species